AACGAACGCUGGCGGCAUGCCUAACACAUGCAAGUCGAACGAACCCUUCGGGGUUAGUGGCGCACGGGUGCGUAACGCGUGGGAAUCUGCCCUUUGCUUCGGAAUAACAGUUAGAAAUGACUGCUAAUACCGGAUGAUGUCUUCGGACCAAAGAUUUAUCGGCAAAGGAUGAGCCCGCGUAGGAUUAGGUAGUUGGUGGGGUAAAGGCCUACCAAGCCGACGAUCCUUAGCUGGUCUGAGAGGAUGAUCAGCCACACUGGGACUGAGACACGGCCCAGACUCCUACGGGAGGCAGCAGUGGGGAAUAUUGGACAAUGGACGCAAGUCUGAUCCAGCAAUGCCGCGUGAGUGAUGAAGGCCUUAGGGUUGUAAAGCUCUCUUACCAGGGAUGAUAAUGACAGUACCUGGAGAAUAAGCUCCGGCUAACUCCGUGCCAGCCGCCGCGGUAACAC
rnacentral:rRNA from 1 species